rnacentral:rRNA from 1 species
UACGAAGGGGGCUAGCGUUGCUCGGAAUCACUGGGCGUAAAGGGUGCGUAGGCGGGUCUUAAGUCAGGGGUGAAAUCCUGGAGCUCAACCCCAGAACUGCCUUUGAUACUGAGGAGCUUGAGUCCGGGAGAGGUGAGUGGAACUGCGAGUGUAGAGGUGAAAUUCGUAGAUAUUCGCAAGAACACCAGUGGCGAAGGCGGCUCACUGGCCCGAUACUGACGCUGAGGCACGAAAGCGUGGGGAGCAAACAGG